AGCAGACCCCAGAAAAGGUGCCCCAGUUCGGAUCGCAGCCUGCAACCCGGCUGCGUGAAGCUGGAAUCGCUAGUAAUCGCGGAUCAGCAUGCCGCGGUGAAUACGUUCCCGGGCCUUGUACACACCGCCCGUCACACCAUGGGAGCCGGUAAUACCCGAAGUCAGUAGUCCAACCACGUGAGGACGCUGCCGAAGGUAGGAUUGGCGACUGGGGUGAAGUCGUAACAAGGUAUC
rnacentral:rRNA from 1 species